UACGGGAGGCAGCAGUGGGGAAUAUUGCACAAUGGGCGCAAGCCUGAUGCAGCCAUGCCGCGUGUGUGAAAAAGGCCUUCGGGUUGUAAAGUACUUUCAGUCGUGAGGAAGGUGUUAAGGUUAAUAACCUUAGCAAUUGACGUUAGCGACAGAAGAAGCACCGGCUAACUCCGUGCCAGCAGCCGCGGUAAUACGGAGGGUGCGAGCGUUAAUCGGAAUUACUGGGCGUAAAGGGCACGCAGGCGGUUAAUUAAGUUGGAUGUGAAAUCCCCGGGCUUAACCUGGGAAUGGCAUUCAAGACUGGUUAGCUAGAGUCUUGUAGAGGGGGUAGAAUUCCAUGUGUAGCGGUGAAAUGCGUAGAGAUGUGGAGGAAUACCGGUGGCGAAGGCGGCCCCUGGACAAAGCUAACGCUCGAUGUGCGAAAGCUGGGGAGCAAACAGGGAUUAGAUACC
rnacentral:rRNA from 1 species